rnacentral:rRNA from 1 species
GACAGAGGGUGCGAACGUUGUUCGGAAUUACUGGGCGUAAAGCGCAUGUAGGCGGCAACGCAAGUCGGGCGUGAAAUCCCACGGCUCAACCGUGGAAGUGCACUCGAAACUGCGUAGCUAGAGUCCUGGAGAGGAAGGUGGAAUGCUUGGUGUAGAGGUGAAAUUCGUAGAUAUCAAGCGGAACACCGGUGGCGAAGGCGGAUCUCUGGGCCAUUACUGACGCUGAGGAGCGAAAGCGUGGGGAGCGAACAGG